UGCAGCUCGGAGGUGCUCCGGCUCCAUCUGCAUCUCAGCGACCCAGCAGCUCGGAGGAGCUGCGCCUCCAUCUGCAUCUCAGGCGGCCUAGCAGCUCCCGCUGCAGCUCGGAGCUGUGGAAUCGGCAUAUGGCGCCACCCUUGCUUGUAUCCGCGACCCACUGUCCAGGCUCAAUCAGUUGAGAAUUCCUAGAAGGUCUGGACUCAACCAAAUGAAGCUCCUCUGCAGGCCCAGGAGGUCCAGACACAAUCAAAUCAGGCUUUGCUGCAGAUGACUCAGAUCAAAUCAUACUUCAGUAUGCUCACAGUAAUCACAUAAAG